rnacentral:lncRNA from 1 species
ACACAAAAAUAAAUAAUUUACAUAUGUCAAACAUAUGUUAAAUGUAUCAAACACUUAUAAAUAAAUCAAAAAUAUGAAUCACUAUUAGCAAUGUAUGUAUUUUUGAUAACUGACUAACAACACCAAUACAUAUUUUUUAUACUAUUAUAUCAGUGUUGCACAUGUCAUUUCUCACGGAAUUAAAUAUACCAAAGGGGCACGUAUAAAAUAUAUCACAGAA